rnacentral:lncRNA from 1 species
AUGCUCAAAAUUCUCCAAGCCAGGCUUCAGCAAUACGUGAACCGUGAACUUCCUGAUGUUCAAGCUGGUUUUAGAAAAGGCAGAGGAACCAGAGAUCAAAUUGCCAACAUCUGCUGGAUCAUGGAAAAAGCAAGAGAGUUCCAGAAAAACAUCUCUUUCUGUUUUAUUGACUAUGCCAAAGCCUUUGACUGUGUGGAUCACAAUAAACUGUGGAAAAUUCUGAGACAGAUGGGAAUACCAGACCACCUAACCUGCCUCUUGAGAAACCUGUAUGCAGGUCAGGAAGCAACAGUUAGAACUGGACAUGGAACAACAGAUAGAUUCCAGAUAGGAAAAGGAGUCCGUCAAGGCUGUAUAUUGUCACCCUGCUUAUUUAACUUCUAUGCAGAGUACAUCAUGAGAAACGCUGGACUGGAAGAAACACAAGCUGGAAUCAAGAUUGCUGAGAGAAAUCUCAAUAACCUCAGAUAUGCAGAUGACACCAUCCUUAUGGCAGAAAGUGAAGAGGAAUUAAAAAGCCUCUUGAUGAAAGUGAAAGAGGAGAGUGAAAAAGUUGGCUUAAAGCUCAACAUUCAGAAAACAAAGAUCAUGGCAUCUGGUCCCAUCACUUCAUGGGAAAUAGAUGGGGAAACAGUAGAAACAGUAUCAGACUUUAUUUUUGGGGGCUCCAAAAUCACUGCAGAUGGUGACUGCAGCCAUGAAAUUAAAAGACGCUUACCCCUUGGAAGAAAAGUUAUGACCAACCUAGACAGCAUGUUGAAAAGCAGAGACAUUAUUUUGCCGACUAAAGUCCGUCUAAUCAAGGCUAUGGUUUUUCCAGUAGUCAUGUAUGGAUGUGAGAGUUGGACUGUGAAGAAAGCUGAGCACCGAAGAAUUGAUGCUUUUGAACUGUGGUGUUGGAGAAGACUCUUGAGAGUCCCUUGGACUGCAAGGAGAUCCAACCAGUCCAUUCUGAAGGAGAUCAGCCCUAGGAUUUCUUUGGAAGGAAUGAUCCUAAAGCUGAAACUCCAGUACUUUGGCCACCUCAUGCGAAGAGUUGACUCACUGGGAAAGACUCUGAUGCUGGGAGGGAUUGGGGGCAGGAGGAGAAGGGGACGACAGAGGAUGAGAUGGCUGGAUGGCAUCACGGACUCGAUGGACGUGAGUCUGAGUGAACCCCGGGAGUUGAUGAUGGACAGGGAGGCCUGGCGUGCUGCGAUUCAUGGGAUCGCAAAGAGUCAGACACGACUGAGCGACUGA